rnacentral:rRNA from 1 species
AUUGAACGCUGGCGGCAGGCCUAACACAUGCAAGUCGAACGAGUGGCGGACGGGUGAGUAAUGUCUGGGAAACUGCCUGAUGGAGGGGGAUAACUACUGGAAACGGUAGCUAAUACCGCAUACCAUCGGAUGUGCCCAGAUGGGAUUAGCUAGUAGGUGGGGUAAAGGCUCACCUAGGCGACGAUCCCUAGCUGGUCUGAGAGGAUGACCACCCACACUGGCACUGAGACACGGUCCAGACUCCUACGGGAGGCUGCAGUGGGGAAUAUUGCACAAUGGGCGCAAGCCUAAGACAGCCAUGCCGCGUGUAUGAAGACGGCCUUCGGGUUGUAAAGUACUUUCAUCGGGGAGGCGUUACCCGCAGAAGAAGCACCGGCUAACUCCGUGCCAGCGGCCGCGGUAAUUC